GAAGGUCUCACUUAAACCUCAUUCAAGAGAUUUAUUGGGAGGGAGAAAUACAGGAGAGUGGCCACCUCUGCUAGGGUGGAAAAGGCUGCUCCAAACUGAACAGGUGGGAAAUGAGGAAAGAUGAAACUCUGGAAGAGGAAGAAAAAACGAUGCUGGAACAUUUAAAACAAAUCUGUAGCACACAGGACUCUUCUUCGUUAGACAGCACAGAUGAACCGUAAUCUGCAGAAAACGUCAACAGCUUUAUUUUAGGAAAGUCUCCUGCAAUGGAGGCUUUCACCGUCGUCAGAGGAACCUCACGUGUGCCCCUGAGUACAGCCGUCACCACAGAGGCUCUGUACUGAACAGGAACACAGAACGUUAAGAAGAAGAGGCUCCGUAAUUUUUAUAUUAAAGAUAAUUUCAAAUUCUUUCCCAAUCUUUCUCCUUAUCUGAUAAAACUACUACCAUCUCGUGUU